ACAACCUUGCUUGAACAGGAUCUGUUCUAUAUAUAGGUUGUAACUCUGUAUCCUUGAUUUCUAAGGAGACAAAACCCUAGUUUGGUGGAUGAACCAUCAUCGUGUGAUCAGAGCAUGAUUAACAGCCCUGUGAUCCUUGGAUCAUUCGAGCAGUAGAUGAUCGUUCUCAGCCAACAACCAACUGGGGUGGUCACAUGGUUGUUUGACAGACA